GAUGAAGAACGUAGCGAAAUGCGAUAAGUAGUGUGAAUUGCAGAAUUCAGUGAAUCAUCGAAUCUUUGAACGCACAUUGCGCCCCCUGGUAUUCCGGGGGGCAUGCCUGUUCGAGCGUCAUUUCACCACUCAAGCCUCGCUUGGUAUUGGGCAACGAGGUCCGCCGCGUGCCUCAAAUCGACCGGCUGGGUCUUCUGUCCCCUAAGCGUUGUGGAAACUAUUCGCUAAAGGGUGUUCGGGAGGCUACGCCGUAAAACAACCCCAUUUCUAAGGUUGACCUCGGAUCAGGUAGGGAUACCCGCUGAACUUAAGCAUAUCAAUAAGCGGAGGA
rnacentral:misc_RNA from 1 species